UCUCAACAGAAACCAACUGAGCUGGCGCCUUGAGCUUAGACUUCUAGUCUCCAGAACUUUAAAAGAAAAAUUUGAGGAAUUCAAUUGUACCUCUCCGAGAAGAAAUCUGGGUGUGUCAUACACUUCAAAGGCAGAAACAGCAAGGACCUCUGAUGUUCUGAAAGCUAGAUACACAGAUAUGAAGAGGAAACACGAAUGAAUGAAGGAGACUGGUCCUUCCCUCAACUUAAGCAAGAACAAACAAUGUCAGAAAAAUUGUGAAAGACUUUG